rnacentral:rRNA from 1 species
CAGUCGCCGCGGUAAUACGGAGGGGGCUAGCGUUGUUCGGAAUUACUGGGCGUAAAGCGUACGUAGGCGGUUUUGUAAGUUAGAGGUGAAAGCCCGGAGCUCAACUCCGGAAUUGCCUUUAAGACUGCAUCACUUGAACGUCGGAGAGGUGAGUGGAAUUCCGAGUGUAGAGGUGAAAUUCGUAGAUAUUCGGAAGAACACCAGUGGCGAAGGCGGCUCACUGGACGACUGUUGACGCUGAGGUACGAAAGCGUGGGGAGCAAACAGGAUUAGAUACCCCGUGUAGUCCCUGUCUCUUAUU